rnacentral:rRNA from 1 species
CAAUAGCGUAUAUUAAAGUUGUUGCAGUUAAAAAGCUCGUAGUUGGAUUUCGGGGUUCGGGAGGCUGGCGGCCGACGGUCGCAAGCCCACCGGGUCCUUUUCUGCUGUGGACGCGUCACCCUUAACUGGGAGGCGUCGGGCGCAGCUCGUUUACUUUGAAAAAUUAGAGUGUUCAAAGCAGGCUUUCGCUUGAAUACAUUAGCAUGGAAUAAUGGAAUAGGACCUGGUUCUAUUUUGUUGGUUAUGGGACCAAGUAAUGAUUAAUAGGGACAGUUGGGGGCGUUCAUAUUCCGUAGUCAGAGGUGAAAUUCUUAGAUUUACGGAAGAUGAACUUCUGCGAAAGCAUUCGCCAAGGAUGUUUUCAUUAAUCAAGAACGAAAGUUAGGGGAUCGAAGAUGAUUAGAUACCAU